rnacentral:rRNA from 1 species
GAUGAACGCUAGCGGCAGGCCUAACACAUGCAAGUCGAGGGAGAAGCCCUUUCGGGGGCAGAAACCGGCGCACGGGUGCGUAACGCGGAUGCAACCUACCUUUCACAGGGGGAUAGCCCGAAGAAAUUUGGAUUAAUACCCCAAAAUAGUAUUGGAUGGCAUCAUUUGAUAAUUAAAACUGCGGUGGUGAAUGAUGGGCAUGCGUCCUAUUAGCUAGUUGGAGUGGUAACGGCACCCCAAGGCUACGAUAGGUAGGGGUCCUGAGAGGGAGGUCCCCCACACUGGUACUGAGGCAGGGACCAGACUCGUACGGGAGGGAGCAGUGAGGAAUAUUGGUGAAUGGUGGGAAGCCUGAACCAGCCACGCCGCGUGCAGGAAGCAUGCCUUCUGAGUUGUAAGCUGCUUUUAUAUGGGAAGAAUAAGGCGUACGUGUACGUUGAUGACGGUACCAUAUGAAUAAGCAUCGGCUAACUACGUG